UACGAAGGGUGCAAGCGUUACUCGGAAUUACUGGGCGUAAAGCGUGCGUAGGUGGUUUGUUAAGUCUGUUGUGAAAGCCCCGGGCUCAACCUGGGAAUGGCAAUGGAUACUGGCAGGCUAGAGUGCGGUAGAGGGUAGUGGAAUUCCCGGUGUGGCGGUGAAAUGCGUAGAGAUCCGGAGGAACACCGACGGCGCAGGCAGCGUCCUGGCCGCUUGCUGACACUGAGGCACGAAAGCUGGGGGAGCAAACAGG
rnacentral:rRNA from 1 species